AAUGCUAUCAGAUCAGAGGGAAGUGUCAAGACAACUGUCAGACACACCAGAAAGUAAUUGGGAACUGCAACAAUUUUGCAUAUUGUUGCACAGCUCGAAAACGGCGCCAGCGUCCUUCACGGCUAUAGAGAUGCACGCCCAGACUCAGAAUACAUCAGUGGAUGAGAGGAUGGGAAGGAAUGAAGGCUCAAAGUCGUAUCCAACUCUUCAUGACCCCAUGGACCAGAG